rnacentral:sRNA from 1 species
CAAAUAUAAAUACUCUGUAAACGGGUUUACCCGAUUUGUUAAAAAGUUUCCUCUUUAAUAGAGAUACAUUUAUGUAUUUUCUUUUAUUUUUAGGACCUUCCGAUCGUGGAGGAGACAUUAAACAUGCCAUAGAUCUCCGCUACGAUCUAAGGAACAUCUAUGCCAAGUUAUAUAAAGAUUGAUCUCAGAUUCAGAACUGGACAUGUCUUCAUCUCUGCUGCCUGUGUCCAAAUCACGUGCAGAAUGAUCAGAUUUUGUUUUCUUCUGUUUCCUGCAAGAACCAAAGAGAAAUCUAUUUCAAUGUUUGACAGUGUCAUAAAGGUGGAAACUGUGUCAGCAGUGGGGUAGAUAGGUGGAAUUCACCAUUUGUCUCUUGUAAUUCAGAUGCACCAUACAAACUUUUACCCCCAUUAAGUCGUUUCAAGUGUGGUAAUUUGGACAUACUUGGUCAAAUCUAUUUCAAUGUUUGACAGUGUCAUAAAGGUGGGAACUGUGUCUGCAGUGGGGUAGAUAGGUGGAAUUCACCAUUUUGACUUUUUCAUUUUCAGUAAAGAAUUUGAAAUUUUAGAUCAUUAAGUUCCAUCUGUAUAUUAUUAGACAUUUUCAGAAUGUUUCAUUUAGUUUAGUAAGUGAAAAUGACUUUAUAAAUGCAAGCAUACAGUUUUAAUUUUCAGCAAAAUCAUUACAAAAAAAAAA